rnacentral:rRNA from 1 species
CGAAGGAUGCAAGUCGUUAUCCGGAUUCAUUGGGUUUAAAGGGUGCGUAGGCGGACUGAUAAGUCAGUGGUGAAAUCUCUUUGCUUAACAAAGAAACUGCCAUUGAUACUGUCGGUCUAGAGUAUAGAUGACGUUGGCGGAAUAUGACAUGUAGUGGUGAAAUACUUAGAUAUGUCAUAGAACACCGAUUGCGAAGGCAGCUAACGAAACUAUAACUGACGCUGAGGCACGAAAGUGCGGGGAUCAAACAGGAUUAGAUACCCUGGUAGUCCGCACCGUAAACGAUGAUUACUCGUUGUUGGCGAUAUGACAGUCAGCGACCAAGCGAAAGCGAUAAGUAAUCCACCUGGGGAGUACGCCGGCAACGGUG